rnacentral:rRNA from 1 species
GCUUGUCUCAAAGAUUAAGCCAUGCAUGUCUAAGUAUAAGCGACUAUACUGUGAAACUGCGAAUGGCUCAUUAAAUCAGUUAUGGUUUAUUUGAUGGUACCUACUACUUGGAUAACCGUAGUAAUUCUAGAGCUAAUACAUGCAGGAAGACCCGACUCACGAAGGGUUGUAUUUAUUAGAUUGAAACCAACCGCUUCGGCGUGAUGUGGUGAUUCAUAAUAAAUUUGCGAAUCGCAUGGCUUUACGCCGGCGAUGGAUCAUUCAAGUUUCUGCCCUAUCAGCUUUGGAUGGUAGGGUAUUGGCCUACCAUGGCUUUAACGGGUAACGGAGAAUUAGGGUUCGAUUCCGGAGAGGGAGCCUGAGAAACGGCUACCACAUCUAAGGAAGGCAGCAGG